rnacentral:rRNA from 1 species
AACGAACGCUGGCGGCGUGUCUUAAGCAUGCAAGUCGAACGAGAACCUGAUUGGAGUUUGAUUUAUCAGACUCCUUACGGGGGACAGUGGCGAACGGGUGAGUAACACGUGGGUAACCUGCCCUUGGAUGGGGGAUAGCCUUAGGAAACUAGGGGUAAUACCGCAUAAUCUCGUUUUAUCGUAAGAUGAAAUGAUGAAAGGCGCCCUCUGCAUAUGGUGCCGUCCUAGGAUGGGCCCGCGGCCUAUUAGCUUGUUGGUAGGGUAAAAGCCUACCAAGGCGACGAUGGGUAGCCGGCCUGAGAGGGUGUUCGGCCACAUUGGGACUGAGAUACGGCCCAGACUCCUACGGGAGGCAGCAGCUAAGAAUAUUCCGCAAUGGGCGAAAGCCUGACGGAGCGACGCCGCGCGGAGGAUGAAGGCUUUCGGGUUGUAAACUCCUUUUCACAGGGAAGAAUAAGGUUGGGAGUAACUGCCCAAUCGAUGACGGUACCUGUGGAAUAAGCCCCGGCUAAUUACGUGCCAGCAGCCGCGGUAAUACGUAUGGGGCAAGCGUUGUUCGGAUUCACUGGGCGUAAAGGGCGUGUAGGCGGCAGAGAAAGUCGGAUGUGAAAUUUUUAGGCUUAACCUAAAAACUGCAUUCGAAACUGCUCAGCUAGAGUACCGGAGAGGGAGACGGAAUUCCUGGUGUAGGGGUGAAAUCUGUAGAUAUCAGGAAGAACACCGGUGGCGAAGGCGGUCUCCUGGCCGGAUACUGACGCUGAGGCGCGAAGGCUAGGGGAGCAAACAGGAUUAGAUACCCUGGUAGUCCUAGCUGUAAACGUUGUGCACUAGGUGUAGGUUGGUUUAUCCUAUCUGUGCCGGAGCUAACGCAUUAAGUGCACCGCCUGGGGAGUAUGCUCGCAAGGGUGAAACUCAAAGGAAUUGACGG